UACGUAGGGGGCAAGCGUUGUCCGGAAUCAUUGGGCGUAAAGCGCGCGUAGGCGGCCAGAUAAGUCCGGUGUGAAAGUCACAGGCUCAACCUGUGAAUGCCGCUGGAAACUGUCUGGCUCGAGUCCGGGAGGGCGAGUGGAAUUCCUGGUGUAGCGGUGAAAUGCGCAGAUAUCAGGAGGAACACCAAUGGCGAAGGCAGCUCGCUGGAACGUACUGACGCUGAGGACGAAAGCGUGGGGAGCGAACAGG
rnacentral:rRNA from 1 species